rnacentral:tRNA from 4 species
GGGUCUGUAGCUUAAUUGGUAAAGCGUCUAACUGGCUGUUAGAAAGUUGUCGGUUCAAUUCCGACCAGUAUCCACCA